CACGUAGGCGGCUCGGCAAAUCAGUCGUGGAAUCCCGUCGCUUACCGGCGGAACGGCGGCUGAAAAUACCGGGCUAGAGGGCGUGAGGGGUCGCUGGAACUCCUGGUGAAGCGGGUGAAAUGCGUAGAUAUCAGGAGGAACGCCGGAGGCGAAAGCGAGCGACUGGCGCGUUCCUGACGCUGAGGUGCGAAAGCUAGGGGAGCAAACAGGAUUAGAUACCCUGGUAGUCCUAGCCGUAAACGAUGGACACUGAGUGAAGGAGGGCUUGCCCUUCUUUGCUGCAGCUAACGCGUUAAGUGUCCCGCCUGGGGAGUACGGCCGCAAGGUUAAA
rnacentral:rRNA from 1 species